GGUUGUGGCUCAGUGGCAGAGUGCUCGCCUAGCACAUGCGAGGCCCUAGGUUUGAUCCUCAGCACCA
rnacentral:tRNA from 1 species